rnacentral:rRNA from 1 species
UACGUAGGGGGCAAGCGUUGUCCGGAAUCAUUGGGCGUAAAGAGCGUGUAGGCGGCCCGGUAAGUCCGCUGUGAAAGGCCCGGGCUCAACCCGGGGACUGCGCUUGAUACUGUCGCGCUGUGAGUCCGGGAGAGGAUGGCGGAAUUCCCAGUGUAGAGGUGAAAUUCGUAGAUAUUGGGAAGAACACCGGUGGCGAAGGCGGCCAUCUGGACCGGCACUGACGCUGAGGCGCGAAAGCGUGGGGAGCAAACAGG